AUAUGUUAUUUAUAUGAUUAGAUGUGAGCAUCUACAAGUUUUCUGUUUCCUCCAUAGGCUCUCUAUCAUGCAGGCGAGAAGAAACUGGGAACUGAUGAGUCCAAGUUCAUUGAGAUCCUCUGUAAAAGGAGCAUCCCUCACCUGAGACAAAUUACCAACUUAAUCAUCCAAAUAAACACAAACGUUUCGCAUAGGAACUGAAAUGGCAUGUGUUUUGAGUAUAAUUUGGCAUGUCCUGUUACAGUAAUAUUGGAAUAUAAAAACAUCAGUGGCAAGAAUUUGCAGAAGAGCAUUGAGAAGGAGUAUCUGGAGGAACUGCUGGUUGCCAUUGUAAAGUGUGUGAUGAGUACUCCUGCAUACUUUGAUGAAAAAGUCUACAAAAGCAUGAAGGGAGCAGGUACAGAUGAAACCACUCUGACCAGAGUAAUGGUCAGCUGUGGAGAGACUGACAUGCUGGACAUCAGAGCUGAAGCUCUAUCAGAAUUCACUCAAGAAAAUAAGAGUAAGUAUUCUCCACUGAUGUAAACACUGUAGCACGGGUUCAGGCCAUCUGGUAAUAUUCUUUAAAUCAUGCUUGAGGCCAGUAGUACAUCACUCCCUGAUCCUCUGGUUUAUUAGUUUAAUCAUGCCAUCAAGUCCAUUCUUCAUGGCCAAAACACUCUUUUCUCAUUCGUGUCACUAUAUUCCAUGCAAAUGAAACAAAUUUUUGAUGAUGACUAAGAGUUUUGUAUUUUAUGUUAUGAUAAGUGACUUUGCUCAUUUUUAUUUCAUUCUGACGUGUCUGGCAACUAUGGUUAUUGCUUGAAGAUGAUUUGUGGAGGAGAAGACUAACCCAGAAAUGCUACUAAAGAUGUCUUGUUUAGUUAUUAC